rnacentral:rRNA from 1 species
GACUACUGGGGUAUCUAAUCCUGUUUGCUCCCCACGCUUUCGCACCUCAGCGUCAGUACCGAUCCAGUGGGCCGCCUUCGCCACUGGUGUUCUUCCUAAUAUCUACGAAUUUCACCUCUACACUAGGAAUUCCACCCACCUCUAUCGGACUCAAGACAUGCUGUAUCAAGGGCAGUUCCGAGGUUGAGCCCCGGGAUUUCACCCCUGACUGGCAUAUCCGCCUACGUGCGCUUUACGCCCAGUGAUUCCGAACAACGCUAGUCCCCUUCGUAUUACCGCGGCUGCUGGCACGAAGUUAGCCGGGACUUAUUCUCCGGGUACCGUCAUUAUCGUCCCCGGCAAAAGAGCUUUACAACCCUAAGGCCUUCAUCACUCACGCGGCAUGGCUGGAUCAGGCUUGCGCCCAUUGUCCAAUAUUCCCCACUGCAGCCUCCCGUAGG